CGCCCCUGGCCGCAGUUGGCCGACGGGAGGCAGAGCGCCGAGCGAGGGUGUCGGCUUUUUUGUGUCUGUUUCCUGUGGGGGGGCGGUGGUGGCCGUUG
rnacentral:pre_miRNA from 1 species